AAGACAUGGGAAGAUGUAAAC
rnacentral:miRNA from 10 species